UGAACGCUGGCGGCGUGCCUAAUACAUGCAAGUCGAACGGAGAUUGUAGCAAUACGGUCUUAGUGGCGAACGGGUGAGUAACGCGUUGGUGACCUGCCCCAAAGAGUGGGAUAACAGUCCGAAAGGACUGCUAAUACCGCAUGAGAUCACUGGGAUUAGAGGCCCGGUGAUGAAAGGAGAAAUUCGCUUUGGGAGGGACCUGCGUCCCACCAGCUAGUUGGUAGGGUAGUGGCCUACCAAGGCGACGACGGGUAGGGGACCUGAGAGGGUGGCCCCCCACAAUGGAACUGAGACACGGUCCAUACACCUACGGGUGGCAGCAGUAGGGGAUAUUGCAUAAUGGGCGAAAGCCUGAUGCAGCAACGCCGCGUGUGCGAUGAAGGCCUUCGGGUUGUAAAGCACUUUUAGCAGGGAUGAGGAAGGACAGUACCUGCUGAAUAAGCCUCGGCUAACUACGUGCCAGCAGCCGCGGUAAAACGUAGGAGGCGAGCGUUAUCCGGAUUUACUGGGUGUAAAGCGCGUGCAGGUGGUUGGGUAAGUUGGAUGUGAAAGCUCCUGGCUUAACUGGGAGAGGUCGUUCAAGACUGCCUGACUUGAGUAUGGGAGAGGGAGGUGGAAUUCCGGGUGUAGUGGUGAAAUGCGUAGAUAUCCGGAGGAACACCAGUGGCGAAAGCGGCCUCCUGGCCCAAAACUGACACUCAGACGCGAAAGCUAGGGGAGCGAACGGGAUUAGAGACCCCGGUAGUCCUAGCUGUAAACGAUGCGGACUUGGCGUUGGAGGGUUAAAAGCCUUCGGUGCCGAAGCAAACGCGAUAAGUCCGCCACCUGGGGACUACGGCCGCAAGGUUAAAACUCAAAG
rnacentral:rRNA from 1 species